ACAGGUAUCGUCGUGAUAUUCGUCGACCCGAUAAUAGUUUCGAUCGGGAACAGACUGCACGAUACAUUGCGCUCGACCGUCAAUUAACGGUAACCGAUAAUCCAAAAUAAUGACAAGCGAUUGCAGUUUUGCGCCCCGCGAUAACUGUUUGUCGAUUUAAAAAGCGUAGAGGACCUGCAGUUUAAUUUUGUAUUGCAGACAAUUAAACUCAUCUUGCGACAGCAGUGUCGCUGCGCUGCGGGAUGAAAGGCAAGGAUAUGCAGAUGAUGGUGGAAUUAAAUUAUUUGUUUAUUCACGAGUUAACGUCCAUUAAAGGGUAAUUACGUAUGUACAUUGACGUGCAUCGACACACGGAGACAAAGAAAGAGUUACGAAAGGAACAAGUACAUUUUUGAGAAAGGCAAAGAGAGAGAGAGAGAGAGAGAGAGAAGUUUCGAAAAGUUUCACUGGAAAAUUAAUUGCGUCAGUUUGCUGCAAUUGUGAUGCGAUGUUGAAUUAUAUUGAACGGCAGUUACUAGAGAUCUGUACAACUCCGUGCGCCGAUUAAUCAAAGAGAUACUUUAUGUCCCGGCGAAGUUAUUGCGAAAUUAUUACUACAAGUAUGCUCUCGCGAGGAUGCCUGGCGAUUACAUGAUUAAUUCCCCCCUCCCCCUCCCUUCACCCUCACCCUCCCUUCCCUCGUAUAUACGAUGCUGGAUACGAAAUGGGUACACUCGUUAGCUCGCGAUAAUAAAAUUAGUAGUCGCGGACGUCGUCAUUAAUCCUCCUUAAGCGAUAAAGUAGCCGGCACGUUGUAAUAAUGGAGUAUUAGAUCUCAUUAUUGCGGGAUAAUUGGAAAAUGGUGGAAUGGCGCGGAAGAUGUGGGUUACAUAGGGAUACAUACAAACUACAUGGGUGAGCAUAAGAUAAUUGAAUUGCCGCCGUGCCCCGCGCGUGAAGUCCGCGAUUAACGGGAAUUUAUUAAUUUAUCAUCAUACGUUGCUCGAUAUACUAGUUCGGGGAGGGGGGAGGGGCCCGGGAUCUGUAUCUAUAUAAGCCAAUUAUUAUCCACGCUGGAAACUAAAAACUUUCGCGAAACGACCGACAAGCCCCGCGCGCGCGUCAUAAAUUACGUCGAGGAUUACCAUUAUGAUUUCACGAUUAAUGAUUCUCGUAAUCCGAAUUGAUUCGGAUCGAAGCUAUAAUUGGUAUCUAUUAAAAUCCCCGCGAUUGGGAUUUCCCCUCCUCCUUCCUCUCCUCCCGUCUCAUUUAGUUUGAUCUUCUCGUAGUAAACGACAUAUCGAUUAUUCCACGAAGAGGGUCGUUAACGAGACGUUGUGAUAGUAAGGUAGCGAUAUUACGUUACAUUUAAUCGCGCUUCGGCGUCGCGGCGGCAGCGGCGUCUGCCAGACUAGGCAAAACGGAUCAUUCAGUUAUGCAGGCUGCAGCUCCGUCAAUGUAGGCCUAACGAUCUCGCAAUGAUUAGAUCAUGUGUACCGCACGUACGUAUCCCGUUCUAAUUGGCGUAAUGACGAUAGCUAAUUAAGCGGAGCUAAACAUGUUGUAACAAGUCGAUUAUUCGUAAGCCGUACCGGAUCGUGUUCUGGUGUAUAAUUCUGUUUUCCUGCGUGUAAAUUAAUGAGUGUAAUGAACGUUGCAGGAAUAAAAUAAAAUGUUACGCGUUCGAAACUAA